GCCAUGACAGGCUUUGACCUUCAUUUCUCUCCCCUUCCCUUUCUCUCUCGCUCUCUCUCUCUCUCUCUUCCUUCCCUUCCACUCCCUUUUCUGGAUGGAAGUUUUUUUUUUUUCUUUCUAUUUCCAGUAGGGUGCGAGGAAGACCGACCGUGGCGAAGACAGGACAGCGUCCGCACAAACAAAGACUAGCGGUUCAAGUAUGAAAAUGCAGAUAGGCCAUUGUUGUUGUUGGGGUGGAGGGGGACAAGGCUGGGGAUUGUUCAAGGCUUUCUCUUGCAUAAUGUUUGGCUGCUUUGGCCAAUGUUUUCAUCUGAAUUUGAUCCUGCCGAGUGGGUGUUUGCGUGGCAAGGAGGAUUAUUGUGCCAUUCAAAAUUUAAACCUUUUUGUUCCAAUUUUUUUUUUUUUUAGCAUUGAAAUUAAGGUGAACAUAGUGGCUCAUACGAACAUAAGAAAUUUAAUUUUUGUUGAUAAUCUUCAAGGUUUAUUUACUCUUGCAAUUUCCAGGAGGCAGUUAAUUACACAAUUAACACAUGAUACAAAUUAUGUACACUUUUUGAGUUGUUUUUUUUCUUUACCAAAGGAUAGCGUCCAACAUAAAAUAAAAAAUAGCAUUGUAUACUACAACUCUGUGCUGUCAUUUCAUUUAAACAUUGUUUAUAUAGAUAGAUAGAUAGCUCUACACUGAUGAGUAAAUUCAUGAUGUCGUAUACCAGCAGUGUUUGUAAAAGGCAUUCAGCUAGAAUAGUCUGCAUUUGUUUUUUGAAGUAAUACUGCUUAUCUGAUUCGGCACAGUUCUGUUUCACAAAAAAGUCCACAUGGGGACUUUUUAAGGCAAAGUGUGUUUCAGUUUGGUGGAACAUUUUUUUGUUUUUUUCUUUUUUUUUUUAAUUCACACACACUUGUUUUUGCAGAUGCACAACAGAAAACAACACAUUGAAAGGCAAACAAACAGAAAUUUGGCGUAUGGCAGGGGUGGGGAACCUGCGCCCCGUGGGCCAUAUGUGGACCCCGAGAGCAAUUCUACAAACCGUGUUAUAAAAAGCCCCCCAAAAUGCCCAUAAUAUAUAAUAAUAAUAAACAUUUGUUGGGUUAAUUUUUCAUGGCCCCUUAUAAGCGAAAGGUUCCCCCGGCCCCUGAUACAUGAAUACAGCCUUAGUAGCUCGGUCACACUUGUUUUGCCCAUUUAUAAACACAGUUGUUUGCCCCCCCCCAAGUACAACAGAUUGCAGCGUUCAUGCAAAAGGCCUCGUAGACACAUUUUCCAUUCACAAAAAAAAAAAAAAGUUAUUGCAAGAUAAACAAGCAGUGUAAACACCCCAGAUACCUACUCUAAAGCAACACUGGUCAUUGGAUAGAUUUUUUUUUUCUCAAUAGAAUCUAUAUAAAUACACAUGAAGUCCUUUUUUUUCUUUAAUACAGUCACAGACGGAUGCCUUCUUUUGCAAUGAUAAAUGUCCUCAAAUACUGUAGAAAAUUUAACAAGAACACAAGCUGCAUGAGUGCUUGUGGUUUGAAUGCUACACGGUCACCAUAGAGGCAGCAGUCAUUCAUUUAACACAGCAGUGAUUGAUAUUGCUAUUUAAAAUAAAACAACACACGCACGUAAGCAACGUGUUAGAAAAUAAUGCCAUAGACCUCUCUUUCUCUCUCUUCAUAUCUAUACAUGAUUUAAAAACAAAAUGGUGUUAGUUAGCAUUGAUUUAAAUUCACAGUAGCCUUGAUGCAGCAGGAACAACAACAACGACGACAACAACAACAACAAACAAACAAACAAAAGAAAACAUUCUUUGGACUUGUGUCUUCUCAUAUAGAAGUGCCAGAUGUAAAAAUGACAAUCAUUAUAUCAUAUAUAUGUAUAUUGUAUACCGGAUGGCAUUCAUAAGUAAAUAAUUAAUUAGAAGCUCCUGCUUGGGCGGGGGAACAGACAAUGACGACUUCAUACAGCAUCUUGUAUAGACGUGAUAUUGCAGACUGGAUUUAUGCUGGUAUAUUCUCUCUUAAACUGGCCCUUGUUGUUGGAUGAUAUUAUUGCAUCUUAAUAUUCCUAUAUAGUGGGAUCAUGUGAACUGACUUCACUAUAUUCUGUAGUCUUGCUUUAUAUUUCUGUGUGGUAGGAUAGACUAUUUAAAAAAAAAAAAAAAAAAAAAAAAACCCUAAAAGGAGGGUCGUGUUCAGUCGCUGUCGGAUUUGUCGUCCUUGGUGACGGUGGCGUGGUUGUAGAGGCCCUGCGCCAUCAGGUGCAGGGCCAGUGUGUUCUUGCUCCCGUUGGCCUUUUUGAUCUUGGCGCGCUUGUUCUGGAACCAGAUCUUAAUCUGGGACUCGUUCAGGCCCAGUUCCUGGGCCAGGUUCUGGCGCCGCUGCUCGGUCAGGUAGCGGUUGGUCUGGAACUCGGUCUUGAGUCUCUGCAGCUGCUCCGCGGUGAAGGCCGUGCGUGGUCGCUUGUCCUCCUUACUGGUGCUCUUCUUUGGUUUGCGGGAUCUCGGACCUGCAAGCGAAUCAAUCCAGAAUUUAUAUAUUUUAUAUAAACUUUAACGUAUUUAUAUUAACAUCCAAAAAUGAUGCAAAACGUGCAGAUUAUUUGCCUAUUACAGAAAACAAGCCCCUCCCUCCAUGUCCACACAUACGGAAUUAAUUAACAAUAGCGUAAUAUUGUUUACUUGUGUUGCAAUAAUUCCAAGUGUGUGUGUGUGUGUGUUUUAAUGGCCCUUUACCCACGUGCACAUAUUUGGUUAGCAGUCAAUUUGAAUUAAAUGUCAAAUUCUGAAAACAGUUCUACUGAUUGUUACUCGCUGUGAUGGUGCAUAAUGUAUUUUCGCACGAUGAGAAACGCGUAGCAUUAGGCGCAAUGCUUUAUUUCUUAUGCUAUAUAUUAAACGCACACAAACACAACCGCGAUGCAUGUGUGUCUUCAAACACACACAAACUCUACAACUCGUAGUAGUCGCCUCCUCUAGCUACAUAAUGCAUGAGAACAAGUUGUACUCCGCUCGAUUUGAUCCACGCAUGACACUCGUAUAAUUUGGUUUUCUGCUGACGCCUGUAAACUUUUUGCGCAACAAGAAGCAAUAGAUAAAUAAAUUAAUUAAUUAAUUAAAAACAACAACAACAAGCGGACGUGCAAACAAAUGCAUGCAACACAUCAGAAAACCGAGUGUUGUUUUGCACACAGUUUUAGUGUAAAAAAAAAAAGAAAAGAAUUCAAAUGCUUUUUUCUCCCCCAAAUAAGGCGAUUCGCAUCCGUUUAUUUAUUCUGUGUAUUUUUUAAAAUAGCCUACUUCUUUAAAAAAAAAAAAAAAAAAAGAGUCGUGCUUUGUUAAGAGUGCAUCAAUCGAAAAGGUAAACACAUGGGUCGAUGAGCCCCUAGCGCGCAGUUCGAAGUCGGUCAGUGUUCCGGGACUCCAUUCGGGGUUACCCACCUGAAGAGGGCCUGUCCGAGUAGCGGGUGCAGUACACCCAGGCGGGCCACAGCAUGGGCUGCUGGGCCGGGGCUGCGUUGGAGCUGGCUUGGGAACUGUCCGAGUCCGAGCUUAGGCACUGGUCUCCGCUCUCCCCGCGGGCUUUCAGGGGCUCCUCGGCGGCUAUGGCUGGCUUGUCCGCGUGCGGCGUGGAGGUGCCCUCCGUGGGCACCGUGCUGCCCACCGGCUCGGUCUGAGGCGCCGCCGGACUGCCGAGGCUCUCCGGCGGCGGAGGCGGCGGAGGCGGCAGCGGCGGCGGGGGCGACAAAAUACUUUCCCCGCGGCGGUGCUGGUGGUUCGCUCCGGUGUCCUUUUUGCGUCCGAAAUCCGGCCUCAGAAUGUUGUCGAUGAAGAAGUUGGUGACCCGGUGCGGGUUCUGCGCGUUGCCCCCUUGCACCUGCAGCAGAGGCAGGAUGGCUCUGUUCGAUUCCGCCGACUCGUCUCUGCUGCCGCGCUCGUUCUCUUCCAUCGUGAAUCGUUUUUUGUUUUGUUUUCUCCCCCCUUUAUUCUCUUUAUGUUUAACCCCCUUUGUGGCUCUCCUCCGGCGCGCUUCGCAUGCACAAGUUGGAGGUGGAUUUGUUUAAAAAAACAAACAAUAAGACAAUCAACAACGGUUAGAUAGAGCUAUGCACAGCCUCGCGGUAGCGUCCUCGGAGAAAAGCAUACUUUUUGGACAUAAUAGCCCCCGCGUUGCUGCCGUUACGAGUGCGCCCGAGCCAUUUGCGCACAUUUACGUGCAGAGACGUCCGCGGCGGCGAACGGCUUCAACUAAACUAAAUAAAGAGGCUCGCAAAAAAAAAGUGAUGCUCUUAAUACUCUCACUCUGGAGUUUGCUUCUUAUUUUCCAUACGAGAAGCCCCCCUUGAGUGACGUCUCCCCACUGUCCUCCCAGACACGUGCCUCCGACCAAUGGGAGGCCAGGAGCCAGGCCACGUGACGUGGGCUCUCAAGCUCUGCGCGCACGCCCCCUUUUUGCCUUUUCAGCCCCCCAAAUCCACUGCGAGGCUCUCUCCGGUAAUUGAUUACAACGAGCCUUGUAUUUCUUUUGCUGAACUCGGCAGAGGUUUUGUCCUUAAAGUAUGUUUAAUAUAAAUUUUUAAUCCACUGUAACAUUUAUGCACACUUUGAACAUUAAUACUGCAUUACAAUAUAGGGAAAAAUAGGCUACUAAAAUAUUUAUUCAAUUAAAAUGUAUUGCCCAUAAAAGCUCAAUAACAUAAGCUCGGAUAAAGAAUGGUUGGGUUGCCUCAGGAAGGCAUCCGGUCUAAAAACUGCCCAAAAAAAUAAUGUAAGCAACUCACUGUGGGGGUCCCUAAUAGGGCAAGACAAAAAUCACAACAAUAUAAAUAAAUGUUUCAAAAAAAAAAAACAUUCUCAAAGAUAAUGUCCAAAUGUGUAAAACUUUCAGGGUAAAUACAACUGAACUGUACUUAUAGUGAUUCUUUUGCAUACCACUAGUGGUACACUGCCAUUAUUUUGAGAACCACUGAGCUACAAGGGUCGCUAACCUGCAGCCUGUGGGCCUGAUAUGUCCUCCAGAGCAUUUCCCCCUAUUCUAACUAAAACUGUAUUUCAUGCUGUUAAGGUAACGUUAUGGCCCCUGAUGGGUAAAAGGUUCCCCAGAUUGCAUGAAAAAGGGGGAAUAAACAAAACCACCCUCUCCCAACAGAAGACAUUUAUUCUGUAUUUGAAUGCACUUGAGUAGAGACUUUUUCAGGCAAGUUUGAUUUGUUUUUAGAAUUGCAUGGCGGACCGGAUCAAGUGUUGUGGCGGGGCCUUAUAUGGCCCCCGAGCCAGAGGUUGCCUAUUUCUGUAUGAACCAAUUGAGAUUUUUAGGAUGUAAAAGUUUGCAGCAGGCCACAUUACAUUUAUGAAAAAAUAAAUGACUGUUUUUUAAUGUAUUAUGAAUAUGUGUGGGUUAAAUGAUUUCCUAUGUCCGUUUUUAGAAUUCCACUGUAGGCCAAAUUAAAUGCUUUCGUGGGCCGUAUGUGGCCCAUGAGCUGUAGGUUACCUGUCAAUGAUACAGAUUUUAGUAAAUAAAAAGGGCAGAGAGAUCAAAACAAAAAUCGCAAAAAAAUGAAGCAAAAUAAUCCCAAAUUAUGUACAAUUUUCUAAAUGUUUUUUAACUUCCUUAAAAAAAAACUUACUCACAUGACAUCAUUCAUUGGGGAACCUUAGAUGUUUUAUACAGUCCUCCGAGGAUCAUACAUUUAUGAAAAAUGAUGUUAAAAUUGUUUUAUUACACUCAUUGGUAGGUUGACUUGUUUUUUAUUGUUUGAUAUUUAUAUUACAAUUGCAUGUGAGAGAGGCCGUACCUGGCCCCAGUGCUGUAGGUUUUACACCAAUGUAGUCCCACAACGGAUGAGUGAAAAAUUUGGUCUGACCUUUUAUCCAAAUACAUACAUGUGAGAAAUUUCUAGCCGCGUAUGUCUUGCGCUCAUGUUCAAAGUUGUCCAUUUUGCAAAAAUAGUCUUGUAUAUUACUACUAAGUGUCUUAUUUUUUUAGUCUUCCCCAAGUGUUCCCACGCUGACCUGUGGUCCAUAUCCUCUUUAAAAAGGAAACCACUGAUGCACAACGACAUGCAGGGAGGCCCCCCCCUCCUGCCAAAGACUAAACUUUUGGGGCUAACUUUUGCUGACCAACUUUUUGUGCUUAGUAGUCCUCCUCCUCUCGGGGCGACACAUGCUUACAGCGAGCUGCCCGGGGCGGGGGCAGAUUGGGGACCGUCCGAGCCGAGGAGAGAGCACACUUCAGGGGGAGGAGAGAUCAACCAAGGGAAGGGGGGCUACCAUAGAUGGUGAUAGGAAGCGUUCAGGUGGAGGAACAAUGCUGACACCUAGUGGUAACAGGACAUCACUACUGCUCAAAAGAGGACCCUGACGUGCAGCUGUAUUGACCAUCACCCCUAUUCCUUUUCUUAAAUCCCAUAAUAAACACACCAGUCAUUUCCACAUGUAUUUUAUUUUAGAUAGCAUAUAAAAGGCUGAAACACACACACACAAAAAAGCAUGAACGAGGUGCUUCAUCCCCUCCAAACCAAAACAUUUUCUUCCUCCACCUCAAUGUUUCAUUUUAUAGAAAAAUAAACGAGUUCUCGUUCCUUCCGUAAUGUGGCUGAAUCAACUUUGACACAGGAUCAAUUGAGCAGCCUGACUUCUGACAUGUUAUAUUGCUCACUGCAUUUGUCAGAAAUCGGAAAUAAGAAUCAAUAAUUGGCCUGUGUGUGUGUGUGUACUGAUUGCACUUCACCUCUCACCAAGUUAACAUACUGACAGUAAUAACACCUGAAUGUGUGUCUGUUUGCAAGCCAUAGUGUCAUUUAUGUACAAUAAGUCCAUAACCCCACAAUGCUUGAUAGUGACAAAAGCACCAUCUAUUAUGUAGAAUACAUUAAUACAGUAUUACAAUACACGGGCAAUCACAGAUUGCAAAAAUAGACUUCGG